rnacentral:tmRNA from 1 species
GGGGCUGAUUCUGGAUUCGACGGGAUUUGCGAAACCCAAGGUGCAUGCCGAGGGGCGGUUGGCCUCGUAAAAAGCCGCAAAAAAUAGUCGCAUGCCCUGCCUGGGGUUGAAGCGUUAAAUCUAAUCAGGCUAGUUUGUUAGUGGCGUGUCUGUCCGCAGCUGGCAAGCGAAUGUAAAGACUGACUAAGCAUGUAGUGCCGAGGAUGUAGGAAUUUCGGACGCGGGUUCAACUCCCGCCAGCUCCACCA